CCUACGGGAGGCAGCAGUGAGGAAUAUUGGUCAAUGGACGAGAGUCUGAACCAGCCAAGUAGCGUGAAGGAUGACUGCCCUAUGGGUUGUAAACUUCUUUUAGAUGGGAAUAAAACGUUCCACGUGUGGGAUUUUUUAUGUAUCAUAUGAAUAAGGAUCGGCUAAAUCCGUGCCAGCAGCCGCGGUAAUACGGAGGAUCCGCGCGUUAUCCGGAUUUAUUGGGUUUAAAGGGAGCGUAGGUGGCUUGUUAAGGCAGUUGUGAAAGUUUGCGGCUCAACCGUAAAAUUGCAGUUGAAACUGGCAGUCUUGAGUACAGUAGAGGAGGGCGGAAUUCGUGGUGUAGCGGUGAAAUGCUUAGAUAUCACGAAGAACUCCGAUUGCGAAGGCAGUUCACUGGACUGCAACUGACACUGAGGCUCGAAAGUGUGGGUAUCAAACAGGAUUAGAUACCCUGGUAGUC
rnacentral:rRNA from 1 species